GCGCUCGUAGCUCAACUGGAUAGAGUACUUGACUACGAAUCAAGCGGUUAGAGGUUCGAAUCCUCUCGGGCGCG
rnacentral:tRNA from 1 species